UACGUAGGGGGCGAGCGUUGUCCGGAUUUAUUGGGCGUAAAGAGCUCGUAGGCGGUUUGGCAAGUCGGGUGUGAAAACUCCGGGCUCAACUCGGAGACGCCACUCGAUACUGCUAUGACUCGAGUCCGGUAGGGGAGUGCGGAAUUCCUGGUGUAGCGGUGAAAUGCGCAGAUAUCAGGAGGAACACCGGUGGCGAAGGCGGCACUCUGGGCCGGAACUGACGCUGAGGAGCGAAAGCGUGGGGAGCGAACAGG
rnacentral:rRNA from 1 species